AAGUCGUAACAAGGUCUCCGUAGGUGAACCUGCGGAGGGAUCAUUAACACGUAUCCAACACGUUAAACCCAAACCGUGAACUUCUUUCCCCACUGGAUAGCGUCGAUCAGUCACCCACGGGUGGAUUGAAGGAUUGUGGAGGUGGUAUUUCGCUGAGCGGGUCAUGCCGUUCGCGGGGUAUCAUCUUCUGCCUUCUCUGAUGGCGGUCGUAGGGCCUCGAGCCCCCGCGUUAUCCUUUGGGCGUAUUUCAAGCCAUCCGACCCUUUUUCGUUUUAUAAAUUUUUUAAUUUUUAUAAAACUCCGCAUCUUUUAUUUCUACUGAUUCUUCUCUUUGAUUAGAAAUAAUCAAGAGAUCUUACGAAACACGUACAACUCUUAGCAACGGAUAUCUUGGUUCUC
rnacentral:misc_RNA from 1 species